rnacentral:rRNA from 1 species
AAUGAACGUUGGCGACGUGGAUUAGGCAUGCAAGUCGAGCGAGAACCAAGGGUGCUUGCACCCAAGGGGACAGCGGCAGACGGGGUAGUCAUACAUAGGUUACGUACCCUCGGGUCUGGGAUAGCCACGGGAAACUGUGAUUAAUACCGGAUAAUCUCUAAGGAGCAAAGGUGUGAUUCCGCCUGAGGAGCGGCUUAUGCGUUACUAGGUUGUUGGUGAGGUAACGGCUCACCAAGCCUUUGAUGACCAGGGGGUGUGAGAGCAUGACCCCCACCACUGGGACUGAGACACUGCCCAGACACCUACGGGUGGCUGCAGUCGAGAAUCUUCGGCAAUGGACGCAAGUCUGACCGAGCGACGUCGCGUGCGGGAUGAAGGCCCUCGGGUUGUAAACCGCUGUCAGAGGGGAGGAAAUUGUUGGGGGCUAUCCCCCUUCAUUGACCGAGCCUCAGAGGAAGCACGGGCUAAGUUCG